GAUGAACGCUGGCGGCGUGCCUAAUACAUGCAAGUCGAGCGAACGGGCGAGAAGCUUGCUUCUCUGAUGUUAGCGGCGGACGGGUGAGUAACACGUGGAUAACCUACCUAUAAGACUGGGAUAACUUCGGGAAACCGUAGCUAAUACCGGAUAAUAUUUUGAACCGCAUGGUUCAAAAGUGAAAGACGGUCUUGCUGUCACUUAUAGAUGGAUCCGCGCUGCAUUAGCUAGUUGGUAAGGUAACGGCUUACCAAGGCAACGAUGCAUAGCCGACCUGAGAGGGUGAUCGGCCACACUGGAACUGAGACACGGUCCAGACUCCUACGGGAGGCAGCAGUAGGGAAUCUUCCGCAAUGGGCGAAAGCCUGACGGAGCAACGCCGCGUGAGUGAUGAAGGUCUUCGGAUCGUAAAACUCUGUUAGUAGGGAAGAACAUAUGUGUAAGUAACUGUGCACAUCUUGACGGUACCUAAUCAGAAAGCCACGGCUAACUACGUG
rnacentral:rRNA from 1 species